AAUGAACGUUGGCGGCGUGGAUUAGGCAUGCAAGUCGUGCGGAAAGGCCCUUCGGGGUACUCGAGCGGCGAAAGGGAGAGUAACGCGUGGAUCAUCUACCUUCAGGACCGGGAUAGCCGGGGGAAACCCCGGGUAAUACCGGAUGAUGUCUCCGGACCAAAGGUGUAAGUCCGCCUGGAGAUGAGUUCGCGUCCUACUAGCUUGUUGGUGAGGUAACGGCUCACCAAGGCUGAGAUGGGUACGGGGUGUGAGAGCACGACCCCGCUCACUGGGACUGAGACACUGCCCAGACACCUUCGGGUGGCUGCAGUCGAGAAUCUUCGGCAAUGGGCGCAAGCCUGACCGAGCGACGCCGCGUGUGGGAUGAAGGCCUUCGGGUUGUAAACCACUGUCGGAGGGGAGGAAAUCCUAGGGGGAUCACCCCUUAGGUUGACCUAUCCUCAAAGGAAGGACGGGCUAAGUUCGUGCCAGCAGCCGCGGUAAGACGAACCGUCCGAACGUUAUUCGGAAUUACUGGGCUUAAAGGGUGCGUAGGCGGCCCUGUAAGUUGGGUGUGAAAUCCCUCGGCUCAACCGAGGAACUGCGCCCAAAACUACAGGGCUCGAGGGAGACAGAGGUGAGCGGAACUUGCGGUGGAGCGGUGAAAUGCGUUGAUAUCGCAAGGAACACCAGUGGCGAAAGCGGCUCACUGGGUCUCUUCUGACGCUGAGGCACGAAAGCUAGGGGAGCGAACGGGAUUAGAUACCCCGGUAGUCCUAGCCGUAAACGCUGAGCACUAGAUCGGAGGGUCCUCCAUAGCUUUCCGGUCGUAGCGAAAGUGUUAAGUGCUCCGCCUGGGGAGUAUGGUCGCAAGGCUGAAACUCAAAGGAAUUGACGGGGGCUCACACAAGCGGUGGAGGAUGUGGCUUAAUUCGAGGCUACGCGAAGAACCUUAUCCUGGGUUUGACAUGUUCGGAUAA
rnacentral:rRNA from 1 species